rnacentral:rRNA from 1 species
GAUGAACGCUGGCGGCGUGCCUAAUACAUGCAAGUCGAGCGAACAGACGAGGAGCUUGCUCCUCUGACGUUAGCGGCGGACGGGUGAGUAACACGUGGAUAACCUACCUAUAAGACUGGGAUAACUUCGGGAAACCGGAGCUAAUACCGGAUAAUAUAUUGAACCGCAUGGUUCAAUAGUGAAAGACGGUUUUGCUGUCACUUAUAGAUGGAUCCGCGCCGCAUUAGCUAGUUGGUAAGGUAACGGCUUACCAAGGCAACGAUGCGUAGCCGACCUGAGAGGGUGAUCGGCCACACUGGAACUGAGACACGGUCCAGACUCCUACGAGAGGCAGCAGUAGGGAAUCUUCCGCAAUGGGCGAAGGCCUGACGGAGCAACGCCGCGUGAGUGAUGAAGGUCUUCGGAUCGUAAAACUCUGUUAUUAGGGAAGAACAAAUGUGUAAGUAACUAUGCACGUCUUGACGGUACCUAAUCAGAAAGCCACGGCUAACUACGUG